rnacentral:rRNA from 1 species
AACGAACGCUGGCGGCAGGCUUAACACAUGCAAGUCGAACGCUCGUAGCAAUACGGGAGUGGCAGACGGGUGAGUAACGCGUGGGAACGUGCCCAAAGGUACGGAACAACUCCGGGAAACUGGAGCUAAUGCCGUAUGUGCCCGAAAGGGGAAAGAUUUAUCGCCUUUGGAUCGGCCCGCGUCGGAUUAGCUAGUUGGUGGGGUAAUGGCCUACCAAGGCGACGAUCCGUAGCUGGUCUGAGAGGAUGAUCAGCCACACUGGGACUGAGACACGGCCCAGACUCCUACGGGAGGCAGCAGUGGGGAAUAUUGGACAAUGGGCGCAAGCCUGAUCCAGCCAUGCCGCGUGAGUGAUGAAGGCCUUAGGGUUGUAAAGCUCUUUCGCCAGGGACGAUAAUGACGGUACCUGGAUAAGAAGCCCCGGCUAACUUCGUGCCAGCCGCCGCCGUAA